rnacentral:rRNA from 1 species
AUUGAACGCUGGCGGCAUGCUUUACACAUGCAAGUCGAACGGUAACAGGGAGCUUGCUCCGCUGACGAGUGGCGAACGGGUGAGUAAUGCGUCGGAACGUGCCGAGUAGUGGGGGAUAACGCAUCGAAAGGUGUGCUAAUACCGCAUACGAACUGAGGUUGAAAGUGGGGGACCUUCGGGCCUCACGCUAUUCGAGCGGCCGACGUCUGAUUAGCUAGUUGGUGGGGUAAAGGCUCACCAAGGCGACGAUCAGUAGCGGGUCUGAGAGGAUGGUGCGACACACUGGGACUGAGAAACGGCCCAGACUCCUACGGGAGGAAGCAGUGGGGAAUUUUGGACAAUGGGGGGAACCCUGAUCCAGCCAUGCCGCGUGUGUGAAGAAGGCCUUAUGGUUGUAAAGCACUUUAAGCGAGGAGGAGGCUACUGAGACUAAUACUCUUGGAUAGUGGACGUUACUCGCAGAAUAAGCACCGGCUAACUCUGUGCCAGCCGCCGCGGUAAGAC